rnacentral:lncRNA from 1 species
GAUCGAGGCUCGUAAGUCCAUCGGUCCACACAGUUGUCCAUGUACCAGUGGAAGAUUCUGCAGCUACCGCUGCACCUGCUUCUUCAGGCGGAACUCCAGGUUGAAACCUUGGAAAGUUUUAACAUAAGCAUAAGGGAUUCGCAAAUCUUCCAGACGUAGAGCACGCAAGGCCUUGAACCCAAAUACAUUACCUACAAUGGAGGUAAACAUGUUAGUAACAGAACCUUCUUCAGAAAGGUCUAAGGGAUAAGCUACAUAAGCAAUAAAUUGAUUAUCUUCUCCAGGAACAGGCUCGAUCUCGUAGCAGCGUCCUUUAUAACGAUCGAGGCUCGUAAGUCCAUCGGUCCACACAGUUGUCCAUGGACCAGUGGAAGAUUCUGCAGCUACCGCUGCACCUGCUUCUUCAGGCGGAACUCCAGGUUGAGGAGUUACUCGGAAUGCUGCCAAGAUAUCAGUAUCUUUGGUUUGAUAGUCAGGAGUAUAAUAAGUCAGUUUAUAAUCUUUAACACCAGCUUUGAACCCAACCUUUGCUUUCGUUUCUGUUUGUGGUGACAUAAAUCUCCCCCUACAACGCAUGAAUUAAGAAUUAUAGCAACAACAACAAGGUCUACUCGACAUAACUUGGAUUCCGUGAGGAGGACCUUGGAAAGUUUUAACAUAAGCAUAAGGGAUUCGCAAAUCUUCCAGACGUAGAGCACGCAAGGCCUUGAACCCAAAUACAUUACCUACAAUGGAGGUAAACAUGUUGGUAACAGAACCUUCUUCAAAAAGGUCUAAGGGAUAAGCUACAUAAGCAAUAAAUUGAUUAUCUUCUCCAGGAACAGGCUCGAUCUCGUAGCAGCGUCCUUUAUAACGAUCGAGGCUCGUAAGUCCAUCAGUCCACACAGUUGUCCAUGUACCAGUGGAAGAUUCUGCAGCUACCGCUGCACCUGCUUCUUCAGGCGGAACUCCAGGUUGAGGAGUUACUCGGAAUGCUGCCAAGAUAUCAGUAUCUUUGGUUUGAUAGGCAGGAGUAUAAUAAGUCAAUUUAUAAUCUUUAACACCAGCUUUGAACCCAACCUUUGCUUUCGUUUCUGUUUGUGGUGACAUAAAUCUCCCCCUACAACGCAUGAAUUAAGAAUUAUAGCAACAACAAAGAACCCAACCUUUGCUUUCGUUUCUGUUUGUGGUGACAUAAAUCUCCCCCUACAACGCAUGAAUUAAGAAUUAUAGCAACAACAACAAGGUCUACUCGACAUAACUUAGGAGUUAAUAAAACCUUUUCACAAAUGAUCCAUCAACUAAUAUUAUCAAUGAAUCCGAAUGGGUCAUUGUUAAAUUUUACCAUGAUAUUUGAUUUGGGAAAUACAUCAUUAUUCUAUACUCUUUCAUAUGUAUGGCGCAACCCAACCG